UUGCGUGUUUGUCUCUGGCAUUUCUGCUAUUUGUUUAUAAACAUAAAUCGUAAGGGGAUAAUCAGAGGAAGUAAAAAAAAAAAAAGAAUUAUUGUUGAGACUUUCCUUUGGAUCUCUGCCGCCGUGGAAAGGCAAAUGAUUGGUAUCACAAUAAGACGUGUCGACUGAGGAUGCCGCUCAUCAAGUGAAUCAGCAGCAAAUAGUAGCGGGCUAAUAAGUGCUAUUAUUCCGUCGCCGUGACGGUUAUACGCACGUGAUACUAGGUACGUAAAUACGGAAGAGGAGAGGAAGAAAUGAGAAGGAGAUACUGUUACGUCGAUACGGACGAAAGAGAGAGAAAGUUACUGUUAGGCGCUGAACUCCCUCGUCCAGCCGCCGAUGACCAAGCAUAUUCGCGCCCAAGUCUAGACUCGGGCAGACCGCUGGUCAUGCAACAGUCCAGGUUGCCCUGAACCAUGGUUGAAUGGCUAUCGACGCACAUUGCCAGCUUUGACUGUCCAGUUUCGCUGCGCGGCAUUUGGACUUUUCACCACGGAAAUCAAACGUUCGAUAUACGACAAGAUUCAUAUAAAUGUCAUAUCGUGAUGUUGGUGUGAGGUGUUACAGGUUUGAUGCAAUCCUAUACAAGAAUAUCAUGUGUAUGGCAAGCGUUCUACGUGAGCCAGAUCACUCGGUAUUAUCCUGACUAUUCGCACAGAACCGCGUAAUAGCGGAGAUACGAAUAGAAGGAAGGAGACGUGGAGUCGUGGUGACCAUUUCUCGAGAGUUGCCUUCAGAAGAGACGAGGACGAGGAAUGGAGGAGACAAGGAUAGAGAUCUAGAUGGAAAGGAAAGAAAUAAAGAAAAGAGGAAAGAAAUGAAAGGCUGUCAGAGCUACGGAGAGCAAAGAGAGUAAGAGAGAGAGAGAGAGAGAGAAAGAGAGAGAAGAGCAAAGGAUGCGAUUGCAGAAAGGGAGCGAGAAAACGGGAAGACGAGAACGAGACGGAGGUCUAGGAGGGUAUUAGCCGGUCUGAAGGGUGGAUGCGAAGAAAGAGAGUUCCCUCUUUCUUAUAUAUUUUUUCUUGUAUUCUCCAGCGUUCCUUGGGAAAAGUUUGUUGUUUGAAGCAGCGCUCUGCCUCUCACCGAUCAUUAAUCAUGC